rnacentral:rRNA from 1 species
UACGUAGGGGGCUAGCGUUGUCCGGAAUCAUUGGGCGUAAAGCGCGCGUAGGCGGCCCGGUAAGUCCGCUGUGAAAGUCCAGGGCUCAACCCUGGAAAGCCGGUGGAUACUGCCGGGCUAGAGUCCGGAAGAGGCGAGUGGAAUUCCUGGUGUAGCGGUGGAAUGCGCAGAUAUCAGGAAGAACACCGAUGGCGAAGGCAGUUCUCUGGGACGGUACUGACGCUGAGACGCGAAAGCGUGGGGAGCGAACAGG